rnacentral:rRNA from 1 species
GACGAACGCUGGCGGCGUGCCUAAUACAUGCCAGUAGAACGCACAGUUUAUACCGUAGCUUGCUACACCAUACACUGUGAGUUGCGAACGGGUGAGUAACGCGUAGGUAACCUGCCUGGUAGCGGGGGAUAACUAUUGGAAACGAUAGCUAAUACCGCAUAAUAUUGAUUAUUGCAUGAUAAUUGAUUGAAAGAUGCUAUUGCAUCACUACCAGAUGGACCUGCGUUGUAUUAGCUAGUAGGUGAGGUAACGGCUCACCUAGGCGACGAUACAUAGCCGACCUGAGAGGGUGAUCGGCCACACUGGGACUGAGACACGGCCCAGACUCCUACGGGAGGCAGCAGUAGGGAAUCUUCGGCAAUGGACGAAAGUCUGACCGAGCAACGCCGCGUGAGUGAAGAAGGGUUUCGGAUCGUAAAGCUCUGUUGUAAGAGAAGAACGGGUGUGAGAGUGGAAAGUUCACACUGUGACGGUAUCUUACCAGAAAGGGACGGCUAACUACGUG